rnacentral:rRNA from 1 species
CCUACGGGAGGCAGCAGUGGGGAAUUUUGGACAAUGGGCGCAAGCCUGAUCCAGCAAUGCCGCGUGCAGGAUGAAGGCCUUCGGGUUGUAAACUGCUUUUGUACGGAACGAAACGGCCCUUUCUAAUACAAGGGGCUAAUGACGGUACCGUAAGAAUAAGCACCGGCUAACUACGUGCCAGCAGCCGCGGUAAUACGUAGGGUGCGAGCGUUAAUCGGAAUUACUGGGCGUAAAGCGUGCGCAGGCGGUUAUAUAAGACAGAUGUGAAAUCCCCGGGCUCAACCUGGGACCUGCAUUUGUGACUGUAUAGCUAGAGUACGGUAGAGGGGGAUGGAAUUCCGCGUGUAGCAGUGAAAUGCGUAGAUAUGCGGAGGAACACCGAUGGCGAAGGCAAUCCCCUGGACCUGUACUGACGCUCAUGCACGAAAGCGUGGGGAGCAAACAGGAUUAGAUACCCUGAUAGUCCACGCCCUAAACGAUGUCAACUGGUUGUUGGGUCUUCACUGACUCAGUAACGAAGCUAACGCGUGAAGUUGACCGCCUGGGGAGUACGGCCGCAAGGUUGAAACUCAAAGGAAUUGACGGCGNGAGAGNGCGAGACGACGACGAGGGAGGAGG